UCCUCUGCAAAUCGCACGGGACAACGCACAAGUGAGUUAAUUCACAUUCUCCAAAUGGCUUAGUGUCAAUAUCAAUUUCCGUAAAAUUAUCUGUUAGCAAUUUUGCAGCAUGAAUAAUUCAAGCCAUUGUUGUUUAGAAAUUGCAAUUUAGGUAAGUACAGGUUGAGAAUUACAAUUCUUUGUGAUUUUCUUUAGGUUGCCUAGCCGAAGAUUUUUCGUAGCUCCGCCCAGUGGGGCAAACUGUAGCGGGCAUAACACAUCUAAUGUUGUAUGUUGGUGCUUCUAGUCCCUUUCUGCUUCUCUCGUCGUAGUGUUGUUCCUUCUGCUUCAGUAACAUGACACAUGGAGGAGGGCUCACACGCUGUAUGAAUGGUGGGUGAAGGAUGGGGAUGAGAUAUCGAUGUUGGAACCUGGAGCCUUGCCCGAACGAUUGAUACAACAACUCGAGCAAAGAGCGGAUUAAGCUGAUAGCAACUGGCUCGACCUUGACAUCAGCUACGGAUCCUUCAGUGAUGGCCAUCCUUCCGUGGAUCCUCCCCCUAUGGCCGUCCUUCCACCCGAAACUUUUACCUGAGCAGCAAAACUCUGUUGGGAUAUUGCAAAAAUAUCUACAUUGGAAAAAAAUAAGAAACACGUAUUAAUUUAGAGAUCGCGUUGCAUAUUCUCUUAUAUACAAUAAUGUUUUUGAAACAUGCAAUAAUUCCUCUAUUUUUUGGUGAUCUCUUUAUAUGUAAACUGAUGUACUUCAAUGCCGAUGAAACUUCAGGUUCUCCUAAUAUCAUAGAACGCAGUGACAUUCUC